GACUAACGCUGGCGGCGUGCUUAACACAUGCAAGUCGAACGGAAAGGCCCUGCUUUUGUGGGGUGCUCGAGUGGCGAACGGGUGAGUAACACGUGCGUAACCUGCCCUUGACUUUGGGAUAACUUCAGGAAACUGGGGCUAAUACCGGAUAGGAGCUCCUGCUGCAUGGUGGGGGUUGGAAAGUUUCGGCGGUUGGGGAUGGACUCUCGUCUUAUCAGCUUGUUGGUGGGGUAGUGGCUUACCAAGGCUUUGACGGGUAGCCGGCCUGAGAGGGUGACCGGCCACAUUGGGAAUGAGAUACGGCCCAGACUCCUACGGGAGGAAGAAGUGGGGAAAAUUGCACAAUGGGCGGAAGCCUGAUGCAGCAACGCCGCGUGCGGGAUGACGGCCUUCGGGUUGUAAACCGCUUUCGCCUGUGACGAAGCGUGAGUGACGGUAAUGGGUAAAGAAGAACCGGCUAACUACGUG
rnacentral:rRNA from 1 species